rnacentral:rRNA from 1 species
GACGAACGCUGGCGGCGUGCCUAACACAUGCAAGUCGAACGGGGUCCAUGGGAGCUUGCUCCCGGAAGACCUAGUGGCGAACGGGUGAGUAACACGUGAGAAACCUGCCCUGGAGUGGGGAAUAACUCGGGGAAACUCGAGCUAAUACCGCAUACCCUCGGAUGGUCGCAUGGCCGACCGAGGAAAGAUUCAUCGCUUCAGGAGGGUCUCGCGGCCUAUCAGCUAGUUGGUGGGGUAACGGCCUACCAAGGCAACGACGGGUAGCUGGUUUGAGAGAACGAUCAGCCACACUGGGACUGAGACACGGCCCAGACUCCUACGGGGAGCAGCAGGUAGGGAAUCGUUGCGACAAGUGGGACGAAACGCCU